rnacentral:rRNA from 1 species
UACACAUGCAGUCGAGCGGUAGCAACAGAGAGCUUGCUCUCGGGUGACGAGCGGCGGACGGGUGAGUAAUGUCUGGGAAACUGCCUGAUGGAGGGGGAUAACUACUGGAAACGGUAGCUAAUACCGCAUAACGUCGCAAGACCAAAGUGGGGGACCUUCGGGCCUCAUGCCAUCAGAUGUGCCCAGAUGGGAUUAGCUAGUAGGUGGGGUAACGGCUCACCUAGGCGACGAUCCCUAGCUGGUCUGAGAGGAUGACCAGCCACACUGGAACUGAGACACGGUCCAGACUCCUACGGGAGGCAGCAGUGGGGAAUAUUGCACAAUGGGCGCAAGCCUGAUGCAGCCAUGCCGCGUGUGUGAAGAAGGCCUUCGGGUUGUAAAGCACUUUCAGCGGGGAGGAAGGCGUUGAGGUUAAUAACCUUGUCGAUUGACGUUACCCGCAGAAGAAGCACCGGCUAACUCCGUGCCAGCAGCCGCGGUAAUACGGAGGGUGCAAGCGUUAAUCGGAAUUACUGGGCGUAAAGCGCACGCAGGCGGUCUGUCAAGUCGGAUGUGAAAUCCCCGGGCUCAACCUGGGAACUGCAUUCGAAACUGGCAGGCUAGAGUCUUGUAGAGGGGGGUAGAAUUCCAGGUGUAGCGGUGAAAUGCGUAGAGAUCUGGAGGAAUACCGGUGGCGAAGGCGGCCCCCUGGACAAAGACUGACGCUCAGGUGCGAAAGCGUGGGGAGCAAACAGGAUUAGAUACCCUGGUAGUCCACGCCGUAAACGAUGUCGAUUUGGAGGUUGUGCCCUUGAGGCGUGGCUUCCGGAGCUAACGCGUUAAAUCGACCGCCUGGGGAGUACGGCCGCAAGGUUAAAACUCAAAUGAAUUGACGGGGGCCCGCACAAGCGGUGGAGCAUGUGGUUUAAUUCGAUGCAACGCGAAGAACCUUACCU